rnacentral:sRNA from 12 species
CAUGAUUAGUUAAUCUAGGAUUGUUUAGAGGGUAGUCGCAGUCGCCCCAACUCCAACUUAUAAAACAAUUUUUUAUUUUGUAAGUAGGGUGAGAAACAACAUUUUGUUGGAAACUCUAUUUUUUUUAAGAAAUUAGAGAACUGU